rnacentral:lncRNA from 1 species
UUUUUUAAAAUUUUAAUAUGACCAUUGCAGUUCCUUAACCAAAUGCGGUUGGGGCAAGUAUGGACACAACAUUCAAGCUGGAUACAGCUCUGAAUUUGGAUUGUGAUUAAAUAGUUGACACAGCAUAGGUUUCUGACACAGAAUGAAUGUGGUCUAAUGAACUUCAAAAUAUUUUUUUUUGCUUUUGAGCAAUUCACUAUGCUGUUGAAUAUUAAUUCUCUCAAAAAAAAUAUUUGAAGAAAUUUUCUUUUUAAUUUCUGAAAUCUGAAAUGAGAAAAAU